GGCAUGCCAUGCAUGAAAAAAUUUUUGAAAUCUGGCCCUUGGGUCCGAGUUGUAAUUUGUAGAGGAUGUUUUAGCCCAUGCCCUUGGCGCGGUGCCUUCCGAGUUCCCUGUUUCGGGACGCCUUAGAGGGUGAGAGCCCCGUACGGUUGGACACCAAGCCUCUGUAAAACUCUUCGACGAGUCGAGUAGUUUGGGAAUGCUGCUCUAAAUGGGAGGUAAAUUUCUUCUAAAGCUAAAUACCGGCCAGAGACCGAUAAGAUUUUUUGAUCGAAAGAUGAAAAGCACUUUGAAAGGUUAAAUAGCACGUGAAAUUGUGAAAGGGAAGCGUUUGCGACCAGACCUUUUCUUAGCGGAUCAUCAGGUGUUCUCACCUGUGCACUUCGCUAAGUUUAGGCCAGCAUCGGUUUUUGUAGAGGGAUAAAAGCUCUGGGAACGUAUCGGGAUUUGAAGAGUGUUAUAGCCUGUUGCAUAAUACCUUUACGGGGACCGAGGACCGCGCUUCGGCAAGGAUGCUGGCAUAAUGGUCGUCAACGACCCGUCUUGAAACACGGACCAAGGAGUCGAACAUUUGUGCGAGUGUUUGGGUGUUAAACCCUCACGCGUAAUGAAAGUGAACAGGUGAGAGCCCUUUUCGGGUGCAUCAUCGACCGAUCCUGAUGCUUCGGAUGGAUUUGAGUAAGAGCAUAACUGUUCGGACCCGAAAGAUGGUGAACUAUGCGUGGAUAGGGUGAAGCCAGAGGAAACUCUGGUGGAGGCUCGCAAUUUUGACAGAUUUUAGCAAGACGUGCAAAUCGAUCGUCAAAUCUGCGCAUGGGGGCGAAAGACUUAUCGAACCAUUAACCCAGCGGAUGCCCCCAAUUACUAGGUGGUUAAGAGGCCGCUCGCGAGAGCAAGAAAGGCCUAGGUCCACCCUACACAGGCUACCCUGUAGUGCUUACCCAGUAGGCGCUACCAGGUGGUCGGGGUGCGACCGACACCGCUAAAUUGCGGGGACAUCCUACAGAAGGCUAGGGGCUACCGCCUGCCGCCGAAAGGCGCCCAGGCACCGAGAAUAGCGCUCUCGGGUACGGUAAUAACGCCCCUGGUAACGGACUACCUGCAGCCUACCCCGCAAUGCCCUUUAAACCCGAGACA
rnacentral:rRNA from 1 species